UUCAACAUCAAAGACAUUUUCUUCCAGUGUAUUACAGAACCGAACCUGCUUCGAUUUAUCAACGAAUUUGGUUCCAUGGUGAGCUAAACUUCCUACGAUCAAUACAAUAUUUUCUACCUAAAGAAAAACAGUUUAGUCGACUAGAAGACUGAUACAACCAAAUAAGACCUCACUAUACAAAAUAAACAUUACCAUAAAAAUAGGUGCAUGCUUCAAGCAUAUUAGGGAUGGGAUUCCAAGAAAUACAAAUGUGGUAAGUUUGCUUUCAACAUAUAAAAUCAUGCUUGUGACACCACAAACCAUGCUCCAUGAUCCAUGGUCAUGUUUCUCUCCAAGAAGUGUUAUGUGGCUUGCUUCCUUUAUUUAUCAGGUAUGAUUCCGUGUGUUAUGGCUUAGUAUACAUGGUAUGUACACUUCAUUCCUACUAUGUUGCACCGUAUCUACGCCCCCGCCCCCUACUCUGUUGUAUGAAUCGUUUCCGACUUAGCCUCGAUGACUUCAUUUUGUCCCAUAAAUCUGCCAGUUUCAAAAUCAUGAGCCACAAGAGUCCAGUAAGGAGCAGCGAGGCUGGCACCAUCGAGCGAGUGUCGCUCUUGAUCUUUGACAUCCGAGGGUGUGUCGUGCUAGCUUGCUUCCAAAAUGAUGACAAAUCAUUGGGCAACCGAGAUCCUCGAUCUCACUUUGCACGCCAUGGCCAUGAACGCUAAACUUGACAUGCUCACCAUCAUCAAAGAAUGAUCUUCCACUAUCGUUGCCCUGUAGAGAUUUAGGAAGAAUGAAUAGUUUGAUUUGGAUGCAAACAUGGCGCCUAAGAAACAAUAGAAAAAUGGAAUUGAAGCAAACUGAGCACAAUGCAGAAAACACAAGUGUGAAGCAAAUGAAACAAAUCUUAAGCACUGGAGAAGCGUAACUAUGGUGCGUAAGAAGCCAAUUGUGGACCGUGAAGAAUCACAUAUCUAUGAUACAAAUGGAUCAUGAAAGUUGGAUGCCAUCAUAUUCCUGUAAUCUCAACAUAAUUUCUACAUAGCGGAAGCACAAUGUUUGUGCAUGGGGACAAAAGAUUUCCAUACCGUUAUGCAAACUAAUACAAGGAAGGAGUGACAUGCAUCUUGUCCAUGAUAUAUGAAAUUUAGGAAGCAUGAUUCAAUCAUCGAUUAAGUAGCUAGAUACACAACGCCUACAAGCACUAACGCAACAUGGAGAUGAACCAAAACUAAACACAGUGUAGAAGCACAAGUUGGAUAUGUACGAAG
rnacentral:lncRNA from 1 species